GACGAACGCUGGCGGCGUGCUCAACACAUGCAAGUCGAACGGAAAGGCCCUUCGGGGUACUCGAGUGGCGAACGGGUGAGUAACACGUGGGUGAUCUGCCCUGCACUUUGGGAUAAGCCUGGGAAACUGGGUCUAAUACCGAAUAGGACCACGCGCUUCAUGGUGUGUGGUGGAAAGCUUUUGCGGUGUGGGAUGGGCCCGCGGCCUAUCAGCUUGUCGGUGGGGUAAUGGCCUACCAAGGCGACGACGGGUAGCCGGCCUGAGAGGGUGACCGGCCACACUGGGACUGAGAUACGGCCCAGACUCCUACGGGAGGCAGCAGUGGGGAAUAUUGCACAAUGGGCGCAAGCCUGAUGCAGCGACGCCGCGUGAGGGAUGACGGCCUUCGGGUUGUAAACCUCUUUCAAUAGGGACGAAGCGUGAGUGACGGUACCUAUAGAAGAAGCACCGGCCAACUACGUGCCAGCAGCCGCGGUAAUACGUAGGGUGCGAGCGUUGUCCGGAAUUACUGGGCGUAAAGAGCUCGUAGGUGGUUUGUCGCGUUGUUCGUGAAAACUCACAGCUUAACUGUGGGCGUGCGGGCGAUACGGGCAGACUAGAGUACUGCAGGGGAGACUGGAAUUCCUGGUGUAGCGGUGGAAUGCGCAGAUAUCAGGAGGAACACCGGUGGCGAAGGCGGGUCUCUGGGCAGUAACUGACGCUGAGGAGCGAAAGCGUGGGGAGCGAACAGGAUUAGAUACCCUGGUAGUCCACGCCGUAAACGGUGGGUACUAGGUGUGGGUUCCUUCCUUGGGAUCCGUGCCGUAGCUAACGCAUUAAGUACCCCGCCUGGGGAGUACGGCCGCAAGGCUAAAACUCAAAGGAAUUGACGGGGGCCCGCACAAGCGGCGGAGCAUGUGGAUUAAUUCGAUGCAACGCGAAGAACCUUACCUGGGUUUGACAUGCACAGGACGCCGGCAGAGAUGUCGGUUCCCUUGUGGCCUGUGUGCAGGUGGUGCAUGGCUGUCGUCAGCUCGUGUCGUGAGAUGUUGGGUUAAGUCCCGCAACGAGCGCAACCCUUGUCCUAUGUUGCCAGCGGGUUAUGCCGGGGACUCGUAGGAGACUGCCGGGGUCAACUCGGAGGAAGGUGGGGAUGACGUCAAGUCAUCAUGCCCCUUAUGUCCAGGGCUUCACACAUGCUACAAUGGCCGGUACAAAGGGCUGCGAUGCCGUGAGGUGGAGCGAAUCCUUUCAAAGCCGGUCUCAGUUCGGAUCGGGGUCUGCAACUCGACCCCGUGAAGUCGGAGUCGCUAGUAAUCGCAGAUCGGCAACGCUGCGGUGAAUACGUUCCCGGGCCU
rnacentral:rRNA from 1 species